rnacentral:rRNA from 1 species
AUUGAACGCUGGCGGCAGGCCUAACACAUGCAAGUCGAACGAGUGGCGGACGGGUGAGUAAUGUCUGGGAAACUGCCUGAUGGAGGGGGAUAACUACUGGAAACUGUAGCUAAUACCGCAUACCCUCGGAUGUGCCCCGAUGGGAUUCGCUAGUCGGUGGGGGAAAGGCUCACCUGGGCGACGAUCCCUAGCUGGGCUGCGAGGAUGCCCAGACAAACUGGAACUGUGACACGGGCCAGACUCCUACGGGAGGCAGCAGGGGGGAAGAUUGCACAAUGGGCGCAAGCCUGAUGCAGCCAUGCCGCGGGUAUGAAGAAGGCCUUCGGGUUGUAAAGUACUUUCAGCGGGGAGGCGUUACCCGCAGAAGAAGCACCGGCGAACUCCGUGCCAGCAGCCGCGGUAAUUC